GAUGAACGCUGGCGGCGUGCUUAACACAUGCAAGUCGAACGGAAAGGCCCAAGCUUGCUUGGGUACUCGAGUGGCGAACGGGUGAGUAACACGUGGGUGAUCUGCCCUGCACUUCGGGAUAAGCCUGGGAAACUGGGUCUAAUACCGGAUAGGACGAUGGUUUGGAUGCCAUUGUGGAAAGUUUUUUCGGUGUGGGAUGAGCUCGCGGCCUAUCAGCUUGUUGGUGGGGUAAUGGCCUACCAAGGCGUCGACGGGUAGCCGGCCUGAGAGGGUGUACGGCCACAUUGAGACUGAGAUACGGCCCAGACUCCUACGGGAGGCAGCAGUGGGGAAUAUUGCACAAUGGGCGCAAGCCUGAUGCAGCGACGCCGCGUGGGGGAUGACGGCCUUCGGGUUGUAAACUCCUUUCGCUAGGGACGAAGCGUUUUUGUGACGGUACCUGGAGAAGAAGCACCGGCUAACUACGUG
rnacentral:rRNA from 1 species